AAAAUGUUUGAUUUUAGCUUAAAUUUUUAUAUUACUGUUAAAAUUGUAUGAAAGUUAAAGUGUAAUUUAUAUGGUCUAAUUAUAUAUUAAACCAGGGUUAUAAAAGGAAAGUAAAUUAUGAAAUUUAUAGUCUCAGCAUAAAACAUUAUUAAUUAAUAUAUAAAAGUAUGAAAUAGUAAUAGUAUAAAAAUCUGAUAAAUAUUUGUGCCAGCAUUCGCGGUUAUACUUUAAGAUUAAGUAAAAAGUUUAAGGUUACAGUUAAAUGAUCAAUAAAUUUAAAUUAGUUAUAAAUAAUAAAAGGUAAAAUUAGAAUAUUAUUUUGUAAAAAGAAAAAUUUUUAUUGAAGCUGAAAAAGUUUAGUAAUAAACUAGGAUUAGAUACCCUAUUAUUCUGAAAUUAAUAUACAAAGACUAAAUUAGUAAAAGAUAAAUACUUAAAACUUAAAAAAUUUGGCGGCAAUUUAAUCUUUCCAGAGGAACCUGUUUUAUAAUCGAUAAACCACGAAACAUCUUACUUGCUCUAGUAUAAUAUCAGUUUGUAUACCAUCAUUAUCAGAUAAUUUUAAAAGAAAAAAUUAUUAAGUUUGAUUAUUUAAUAAAAUUAGAUCAUGGUGCAGUUUAUGAGUAAGGUAAAAUGGGUUACAAUAAAUUACUUUAUAGCGGAAUAAUAAAAUAAUUUUGUUAUGAAGAAGGAUUUGGUUGUAUUUUUAGUUUAAUAAGCUAGUAAGAUAUAAGUUCUAAAUUGUGUACAUAUCGCCCGUCGCUUUCAUCUAUAAAUGAAAUAAGUCGUAACAUAGUAGAUGUACUGGAAAGUGUAUCUGGUAAUAU
rnacentral:ncRNA from 1 species